rnacentral:rRNA from 1 species
UACGGAGGGUGCAAGCGUUAUCCGGAUUCACUGGGUUUAAAGGGUGCGUAGGCGGGCAGGUAAGUCCGUGGUGAAAUCUCUGAGCUUAACUCAGAAACUGCCAUGGAUACUAUUUGUCUUGAAUGUUGUGGAGGUAAGCGGAAUAUGUCAUGUAGCGGUGAAAUGCUUAGACAUGACAUAGAACACCAAUUGCGAAGGCAGCUUACUACACAAAUAUUGACGCUGAGGCACGAAAGCGUGGGGAUCAAACAGG